GUGACCUGCAGAGGGCGCCACUACUCGACCGUUAUUCCUGCGUGCGCGCGCCUCCGCCAGUCUCUGUAUCUGCGGCACACAUCCCGCACGAGUCCCGCUUUUAACGGUAAUAUGGGUCGUUAGGACGGUUUUCGCGCGGUUAACGGCUGUUAUUAUUCAGCGUGAAUGUGAAGAUCGCGCGAAUUCUGCUGCGCGUUUGUCCGUGCGCGCCGGUAACGCGGGUCUUACAGCUGCGAGCGAUUCUUAAGUAAACGCUUUGUGACACAGCGAUCUUCAUCAUCUUCUUCAUCAUCAUCGUCAUCUCAGGUCAAUCUUCCGUCGGUGUGUCGAACAUGAACGACUGAAGCGGCGCGUAACGCUGUGUGUCAGCUUUGACCUUGACUCGGUGUUGUGUUCUCGCUCGUGUCGGUCACUCGUCCUGCAGCAGCGCUCCAUCAGAUUCUCUAUUACGAUGCUCCAGCGAGUGACUCCUGACAUGUAAAUGGCGUCGAAGGUGCGUGAUGCUGUGCUCUGGUACCAGAAGAAGAUCGGUGCGUAUGACCAGCAGAUAUGGA